AGUUCCCUAUUGGUGGACAUUUAGGUUGAUUUCAAUGUUUAUUGUAGAGAAUGUCGCUAUGAAAAUCCCUGCAGUUGUAUCUUGAUCCACAUGUAUAAUUUAUUGCUCAUUUAAACAUCUUGCUCUUUUGUAAAGUACUGUAAUAAUAAUAAUAAUGAUGAUGAUGAUGAUGAUGAUGAUGAUGAUGUCUUUUCCGGGGUUGAGAUGAAAAAAUAAUGUGGCAUUUCCUGAGACUUCUGUGGCCCCUGGGAGAGUUCUCAGCAUGAAAAUGAAAUCCAGGGGCCAGAUCUGAGUCCGUGCUGCCCAGAAUUUUCUGAUUAUGAGGAUCAUGAGGACUCACACUGAAAGUCCCUGUUUCUGGGACUGUUUGUGACCUAAUGCAAUAGUCUUAGAGCUAAAACAGAGGCACCAGCAUAGGUGUGACCCAGGGCCACAGAGAAGCAGGAAGAAAUCAGGAACUCACAGAAAUCAUUGAUUUUGUAACAGAAAAGGCAGGAGAAGAAAUAGUAUCUCUCUGUCCUCUGGCUGCUGUUGAUUCUGAGUGUGGAAAGCCAACCCCCACCGAGCAGAGGGAGCAGAGGGAAGAGACAGACAGAGCCUGGGAUCCUCAUGACUCCUCUGAGCAGCUGAACCAAGCCGCCCUGGGGCCUGACUUCUCUGUGGACUUCUGCUAUGUGAGAUAAUAAGCUUUUUUAUUGAGUUGGAAUUUCUAUUAUUUGCAGUGGAAGCCCCAUAAGCAAUUCACACUCACUGAAUCAGCAUCUCUGGUGAUAGGCCUGCCCCAGGCAUUUCUGAUGUGCACACUCCAGUGUGGAAAUCACCAGAGAAACAGUGUGGACACCGUGCUGGCCAUCACUGGCUGGCCACCAUGUUCCGAGCCCCUUGGAGCAAGUCAUAUCCCCUCCCGGAGCCCCAGCUUCCUUGGGUAACCAAGAAGGGAUCUACCCUAGGGAAGCUCUCUGUUGUGGUGUUCUGCUGUUUUGCCAUAAUGUGACUCUAGGCGAGCAUGGUGGUUAACCAUGGCAGGAGAGUAUGCCAGGGGAGAGAUCUCACAAAAUGCUUUGACGUCAGUACAGUAGAGCAGCAGGGAACUUUAUUGUGAUCUUCAACAAAAGCUGGCUGCAGAGAGCUUCUCUUGCUUUCCAAAGAAAUGGUGUAAUCAAUCUCAGGGAUUGGAAAGUUCUAUUGUUUAGAAAAAAUGCCUUGAUGGAUAUUUGGUUCUAAUGCGGGGCACGUCCCCCACCCUCCAGCACAGCCUGGAUGAAUGAUAGGGAAAUGAGAGGGCCGGACAUCUAACGUCCAAUGUCCUAGGAGAUUUCCAGAAUCAGCCCAUUCUACAGAAGCAGAAAUGCUUUCUAGGAAGUGAUGGGGUGAACCCAAGUGUAUGCUGCAGAGUAUCCUCAGAACCACCGGGCAUGCUCGUUAAGUUCAACACAAAAGGUGGGGUGAUGGUUUGAGCUGUUCUAUGUGAACAUUGUUGGGAAGGGUGACCCUGUUUCAGGAUGCUGGAAGCUGGAGGAACAUCUGGGAGGCUGGUGAUGGUAGAAACACUGGAUCUCUCUUCAGAGUGUCUCGUGGGCCCACUGACAGAUGACAUGUCAUCUGUCCAAUAAUCCUGUGGGACACGUGAAUUAUUUAGAACCAUUUUCAGAUCUUGGAAACCUUCGAAACUGAGGCUCAGAG
rnacentral:lncRNA from 12 species